rnacentral:tRNA from 1 species
GGUGGCUCAGUUGGUUAAGCAUCUGCCUUUGGAUCAGCUCAUGUGGGAUCGAGUCCCACCC